rnacentral:rRNA from 1 species
UUAAAAAGCUCGUAGUUGAACCUUGGGCCUGGCUGGCCGGUCCGCCUCACCGCGUGCACUGGUUCGGCCGGGCCUUUCCCUCUGGGGAACCUCAUGCCCUUCACUGGGUGUGAUGGGGAACCAGGACUUUUACUGUGAAAAAAUUAGAGUGUUCAAAGCAGGCCUAUGCUCGAAUACAUUAGCAUGGAAUAACAGAAUAGGACGUGUGGUUCUUUUUUGUUGGUUUCUAGGACCGCCGUAAUGAUUAAUAGGGACAGU